rnacentral:ncRNA from 1 species
CUAGGCAGGGGCCACUUCGGUUCCGGCCCGCAAGGCCGGAGAAAAGGGAACGCGGUGCGUCUUGCCCCUCGGGGCGCGGCAAUUCCGCGGCUGCCCCCGCAACUGUAGGCGGAGAGCGCGGCUGACAGAUGCCACUGGGCCCAGCGCCCGGGAAGGCCAGCCAAGCUGAGACCCGCAAGCCAGGAGACCUGCCGGAGCGACGAUCACCCU